GAUAAGACACUCCCUGUCCUUCAAUGUAGCACAAGAGGAAAUGGGCUUGGGAGGGGUGGAAAGCAGGCAAGCAAGCUCAGACACUUUUUCUUAGUUACAGAUUCCUUGUAAUCAUCCGCUGGAAUGAAAAAUAGUCCCCUGCCAUGAAGCCCAAAGUGGUAAGCAUAUGGUUCUCAGGAAGUCUCCCAUUUAUUAACAAACUAGCUUCAGGCCUAGAUAACUCCAGGAAGGAGAUUAAAAAUUCAUUCUUACACUGACAGAGGAUCAGAUAAAUGUUGAACUGGAUCUAUCUGAGAAUGAAAAAAAGAAAGAAGAACGAUCGUAUGCAGGUUUCUUGGAAGCAGCCCUUGUUGUUACCAGUAGAGAAGCAGAAGAAUUGUACCAUGAGCAAAGAAGAGAGUGAGGAGCAGAGGGCAGCUCCCUUGGAACCAGUUCUUCCUUUCUUUGAUCUUAUCCAAACAUCACCAUCAGUUGUAGAGUUCAAGAAAGCCAAAAUGGGACAGCUAGCACCAAGGAUUGUAAUUCCUUUAACGGAACCUUCUAAGAAAUGGAGAAAGUUUCCUUACUCUCCUCAGUGGGUUAGUAUAUUGGAUGUAGCUCAAAAAAUCUUGGAUGAGGAAGACAGAUUGAAAAAGAAACAGAAGUACAGUAAAAGGGAAGAAGAGGAAACACAAACUAAUGAGAAUUUUGGGAAGGUGAAAGAAGAAAUUAAAAAGGAAACACCACCUAAACUGAGUGAUCUAGAUCUCCAACAAGCCACACCUAUUCAAGAUCUGCAACCUUUGCUGGAUCCAUUGCCACCUCUGGAGACCUCCUACCUGAAAGCAGAGAAUGAGAUCUUGACAGCAAAGGACAUUGAAGAUAUCAUCCAGGAAAUUGUGGCCAUCAGAGCUAAGGAGAGGCUCUCCGAAGGAACCUUAUUUCCUGAAGUAAGAGAGAAGUUUUUCUCUGAGAAUGCCUGUUCUGUUAAUACACAGAAACUGCACUAUCACAGGGAUGGCAGGAUGCAACACUGAGAUGGGUCUUCACAGAGCACCUACUGUCAAGAAACUAAAAUGUGCCUCGACAUCUUCAAAGUACCAUUAAAUAAUCAUUCCUGU
rnacentral:lncRNA from 1 species